GACAGAGGGGGCAAGCGUUGCUCGGAAUCACUGGGCGUAAAGGGCGCGUAGGCGGGAUGGCAAGUCGGUCGUGAAAUCCUUCGGCUCAACCGAAGAACGUCGGCCGAUACUGCCGUUCUUGAGGGAUGCAGAGGAGAUUGGAAUUCCCGGUGUAGCGGUGAAAUGUGUAGAGAUCGGGAGGAACACCGGUGGCGAAGGCGCCGCUCUGGGCCGAAACUGACGCUGAGGAGCGAAAGCAUGGGUAGCAAACAGGG
rnacentral:rRNA from 1 species